rnacentral:rRNA from 1 species
UGGGGAAUAUUGGGCAAUGGGCGCAAGCCUGACCCAGCAACGCCGCGUGAGGGAAGAAGGCUUUCGGGUUGUAAACCUCUGUCCUUGGUGACGAAACAAAUGACGGUAGCCAAGGAGGAAGCCCCGGCUAACUACGUGCCAACAGCCGCGGUAAUACGUAGGGGGCGAGCGUUGUCCGGAAUUACUGGGCGUAAAGGGUGCGUAUGUGGCCUUUUAAGUUGGAUGUGAAAUACCUGGGCUUAACCUGGGGGGUGCAUCUAAUACUGGGAGGCUAGAGUGCAGGAAAGGAAAGCGGAAUUCCUAGUGUAGCGGUGAAAUGCUUAGAUAUUAGGAGGAACACCAGUGGCGAAGGCGGCUUUCUGGACUGUAACUGACACUGAGGCACGAAAGCGUGGGGAGCAAACAGGAUUAGAUACCCUGGUAGUCCACGCGGUAAACGAUGAAUACUAGGUGUAGGGGGUAUCAACUCCCCCUGUGCCGGAGCUAACGCAAUAAGUAUUCCGCCUGGGGAGUACGGCCGCAAGGUUG